AAUUAUUAUUAGAUUUUUAAAUAAUUAUUCACGAAAUAAAUUGAGCUAAAUUUUUGGUAUUUUUGGAAAUUAUAACUAUAUGUUACAAAAUAUAUUAACUAAAUAGAUUUAGGGGUGAAAGGCCUAUCAAAUUUUAUGAUAUCUUGAAGUAUAUAAAAUAUAUCAAGUAUUUCUAAUUCAACUAUUGAAUGUUUAGGUUCAAUAGUAACAUUAUAUUUUUUAAAAAAUAGUUCAAUUUUUUUAAGUAAAAUUGAGUUAGAGCAUAAAAUAUACAUCAAAUUUUUAUUAUAUGAAUAUAAAUAUACUACGGUUAUUAAUAAAUAUAAUCAUAUAUAAUGUAAUUAUUAGUAAUAGUUUAUUAAACUACAUAAAGGAAUUCGGCAAGAAAAUUUUUCACCUGUUUAUCAAAAACAUAGCUUAUUGAAUAUCAUAAUAAGUAACCCCUGCUCAAUGGAAAUCUAAAUAGCCGCAGUACCUUGACUGUGCAAAGGUAGCAUAAUCAAUUGGCUUAUAAUUGAAGUCUGGAAUGAAUGGGUAAUCUGGAAAAUAACUGUCUUUAUUUGUAGUAUUUUGAAUUUACUUAUAAAGUGAAAAUACUUUAAUAUAAAUAUAAGACGAGAAGACCCUAGAAAUUUUUUGUUAAUAACUUUUGUUGGGGCGACAGGGUAACAUAUAAACUUACUUACAUUUAUAUAAAUCUUAUAAGGUACGUAACUAAAUUACUCUAGGGAUAACAGCAUAAUAUAUAAAAGUUUAUGACCUCGAUGUUGGACUAGGUAAUUAAAUAUUUAAAAGAUAUCUUAAUUUGCUCUGUUCGAGCAGUAUCACCUACAU
rnacentral:rRNA from 1 species